rnacentral:rRNA from 1 species
GACGAACGCUGGCGGCGUGCCUAAUACAUGCAAGUCGAGCGGAUCUUCAUUAGCUUGCUUUUGAAGAUCAGCGGCGGACGGGUGAGUAACACGUUGGCAACCUGCCUGUAAGACUGGGAUAACUUCGGGAAACCGGAGCUAAUACGGGAUAAUCCUUUCCCUCACAUGAGGGAAAGCUGAAAGACGGUUUCGGCUGUCACUUACAGAUCGGCCCGCGGCGCAUUAGCUAGUUGGUGAGGUAAUGGCUCACCAAGGCGACGAGGCGUAGCCGACCUGAGAGGGUGAUCGGCCACACUGGGACUGAGACACGGCCCAGACUCCUACGGGAGGCAGCAGUAGGGGAUCUUCCGCAAUGGACGAAAGUCUGACGGAGCAACGCCGCGUGAACGAUGAAGGCCUUCGGGUCGUAAAGUUCUGUUGUCAGGGAAGAACAAGUACCGGAGUAACUGCCGGUACCUUGACGGUACCUGACCAGAAAGCCACGGCUAACUACGUGCCAGCAGCCGCCGUAA